rnacentral:lncRNA from 1 species
UUGAGGGCAAAAUGGGUUUUUUUGUUGAACCUAAAAAACCCUAAAGUGUGAGUAUUUAAGCAUUUUGUGAACAAACCAAUAAAGGGAACGAAAACCAAUCCAAAAUACUAAACUUCGCAUUUGGAUAUGUGGAUCAAUCUCUUUCAUUUUGAAACUGGAAAUGUACAAAAAAGAAAGAAAAUUAGAAACAGAAAAGAAAAAAGAAAAAAGUUAUCUCG